AUUUCUCUUUCUCUCUCUUCUCUUUCUAUCCAUUGACUAAGUCUUCUUCCUCAACCUUCUCUUCCACUUCCUCAACCUCCCCUUUCUUUUUCUUCCUCACCUUCAUUUUCUAACAACAUCAUCACCACCCUCUUCUAGCUCUUUUGUGGUUUAUUUUUCAGGUUAUAGACCGGAUCGAGUUUUACCGGUGAGUUUUGAAGCUAAAAAGGUUAUAGGCUGGAUCGGGUUUUACCGGUUAUAAACUAGAUCAAGUUUUACCGGUGAGUUUUGAAGGUGACAAGCAUGUUUUGGCGACUCUACAAGCAUUCGCAAGACAAUGAUUUUGUGGGAUUUCCUUGCAGUGUCUGGGAUUUCCUUUCCAAUGUGAAUGGAAUGUAUAGUUGCAGUUAAUUGAUUUACUUUGUCGGUGACCAAUCAUAUUUUGAUACGGGAUAUCAUAGUAACUAUAACUAAUUGACCUGUCAAAUUUCUUUUAAGUUGUUUUCUGUCUGAUUUUCUAUCAUAGGUAUAACCAUGGUUGUCGAUGUUGUCGUAACUAUUGUUGUUUUGGGAUUGUGGAAGAUGAAGAGUGAAGACAGGUAAAUUAUGACUUUAUUUGAGGUAUAAUUAGGUGAGGUAUAAUUAUGGCUGUUGAUUGUGGGACUGUUAUCAAAUUUCUUCAGACAGUGUUAUUAUCAAGCCAUAUAGCUCAAUUGUUAGCAAUUCAAAGUUUGUUGAUUUUGCAUUUAAUAAAUCUGAGUCACAAGUGUAUCAGGAAAAUCCCAAAAUUGAAGAAUACAGUUACAUUUUAGUUAAGAAAACAAUAAACUUUGUCAAUAUUACAUAAAAAACAACAUUAAUAAUGGUGAAAUUCAACUUGCAGUGGAGUGCAUUUUAUGCUCAGCUUGCAUAUGGUUAGUGGAGUGUUGUCCACAAGAGGGGCUUACUAGUUUUUACAUUGUUUGUAACUGUGUGUGUAUUAUGUUCAUUUUUCAUUAGUUUUUAGUCCCUUAUAAUUGUCAUUUGUUCUAUGUUGUAGAGAAACUAUGGUAUGAACCGGUGAAUUUUGUUUUUGACUAGCUAAUAAAUGCCGACAGGUAAAUGUAGGAAGAGAUAUGACAUAUUUGUUUUUUCUUUCUGUGAAAUACUCAAAAUGUAAAAAAGUUAAUGGGAUUCCUCUUGCCGGUUGUAUAAAAAUACCAACUUGACAUAUU